GACGAACGCUGGCGGCGUGCUUACCACACGCAAGUCGAACGGUAAGGCCCUUCGGGGUACACGAGUGGCGAACGGGUGAGUAACACGUGGGUGAUCUGCCCUGCACUUCGGGAUAAGCCUGGGAAACUGGGUCUAAUACCGGAUAGGACCACUGCCUGCAUGGGAGGUGGUGGAAAGCUUUUGCGGUGUGGGAUGGGCCCGCGGCCUAUCAGCUUGUUGGUGGGGGGAUGGCCUACCAAGGCGACGAUGUGUAGCCGGCCAGAGAGGGUGACCGGCCACACUGGGACUGAGAUACGGCCCAGACUCCUACGGUAGGCAGCAGUGGGGAAUAUUGUACAAUGGGCGCAAGCCUGAUGCAGCGACGCCGCGUGAGGGAUGACGGCCUUCGGGUUGUAAACCUCUUUCAGCACCGACGAAGCGCAAGUGACGGUAGGUGCAGAAGAAGGACCGGCCAACUACGUGCCAGCCGCCGCGGUAA
rnacentral:rRNA from 1 species